rnacentral:rRNA from 1 species
AGUGAACGCUGGCGGUAGGCCUAACACAUGCAAGUCGAACGGCAGCACAGUAAGAGCUUGCUCUUACGGGUGGCGAGUGGCGGACGGGUGAGGAAUACAUCGGAAUCUACUUUUUCGUGGGGGAUAACGUAGGGAAACUUACGCUAAUACCGCAUACGACCUACGGGUGAAAGCAGGGGAUCUUCGGACCUUGCGCGAUUGAAUGAGCCGAUGUCGGAUUAGCUAGUUGGCGGGGUAAAGACCCACCAAGGCGGCGAUCGGUAGCUGGUCUGAGAGGAUGAUCAGCCACACUGGAACUGAGACACGGUCCAGACUCCUACGGGAGGCAGCAGUGGGGAAUAUUGGACAAUGGGCGCAAGCCUGAUCCAGCCAUACCGCGUGGGUGAAGAAGGCCUUCGGGUUGUAAAGCCCUUUUGUUGGGAAAGAAAAGCAGCAGGUUAAUACCCCGCUGUUCUGACGGUACCCAAAGAAUAAGCACCGGCUAACUUCGUG